CCCGGAAUUGGAAGGACCUAUCUCAGGACCUGAAAUCAAUGUAGUUCUCCCCACUGAUGGCACGGUGACUUUUUAAAAUAAACCAAAAUGAGAUUCUGCGCUUGGAUUGGUGGGGGAAAAAAAGGAAAUUCCAAGAAUUUGACUUGUUUCCCUGGACUUUCCCCACUCCUUACUUUUCUCUCAGCCUUGCAGAAGCACAUAGACCUUUCACGAACUAUUUGCCAAGGAAAGUCCUGCGAGCUGCAGACACCUGGCAGCUGUGACGAGUUUGCCUAACAAGGGUGCAGACCUGCAGCAGCUGAGCCUCCCUGAUAAAGGUCGGAGAGACUCAGUCCUGUCCUGCUGUGUGUGUGUGGGUGCAGGGGGGCAGUGGCUGCAGCCCCCCUGGGCUGCUCUGUCUGCCCAGCCUGGGGCAGCAAUGGGGCCACGCUGGCCCGGGGCUUUGGCAUCUUGUCAGAUAAUCCGUUUGAAGUCACGUGGGGAGUAUGUUCAUUUUCUUCUGCUGGAGUCCCAGCAAUGUAGCUGGGGCUGACAUCAGUUCCAAAAAACAGAAAGAAUGGUGUCAUUUUUCAACAAGUGCUGUCACUUGCGUUUUGCUGGUGGUGACAGCAUCCGCGGUCCAGCCCCGGCCCUGCUGGGCAGGAGCAGCUCUGCCAGCCCCGCUCUGCUCUCCUGCUGGCCCACAGCCUGAUGCCGCAGCCUUUACCAUUCACAGAGCCUGAGAAAUCUGCAGACCACAGGCUGAAAACCACCGACGAACACGGCAGCGUGCAGUAACCUGUGCAGAUCGCUUCCUUCGGAGACCAGCUCCAUCGUGCUGUGUCGCACCCACCCACCUCGGCCGUUUGCCCAGAGGUUUUCUAUUUCUGCACUUCCUUUGGGGAAACAAUUACAGCACCAGCCGCUGAUACUCGGUGCCUGCAGCAUCUCAAGCUUAACAAACAAAACACAGGCCAUGCAAACUAGAGCUGAAACUGGUCCAACCUCGGUUUUAUACUUCCAUCAAAAGAACUGCAGAAAAUGACAAAGAAAAUAUCACGACCCACCUCCUUGCUUGCAAGAUUCACUAGAUCUUUGAAGUUCUUUUGAAAUUCUUCUAUUGUGCUGCCCAGUGAGCCAGAGAAGCAGGUACUCAACAAGAAGAUACAGAGCAACAGCAUUUUUGCUUCCAGGAAAGCCACCUUCGAUUUAUGCCUUUUUAACGCCACGCGCUGCCUAUAUAUACCCAUGUACACCUUGAAUAUUAAAUCAAAGGGAAAGAUUUCUCACAUAGGAAAAGGCAGAAGACCUUGGUGUGAAUGAUCAGAGGCGCUGUGGGAUGCCUCAGUGGGGACAGGUUGGGGGUUUCCUUCCUUCUGACAUCAAAUAAGGGGAAAAUACCUUUCUAGAUAAGAGAUGUCAUUUUCUUACAUGAUAUCAAAAGCUCAUCACAGGAAAUAGGAGUAUUCCUUGUGUAACACACAUUUUAUGUGGUUCUAUUCUUAUUUUUGCAUCACGUAAUCAGAUAAACAGAGAUCUGGAAACCUGAGUGCUUCUUACAUUCCACUCGGAAAUAAGACAUCCCUUGUUCAAUCAGAUUUUCUAACAUAAACUGCAGUUCUAGGUGUAGUAAAAAUUAGUGAGAAAUUCUUAGGCAUACACAGACCCUAAGACCACUUAAUGAAUUUGAUUCUUUAGCCUUCUUCCUUCACCUGUUCUGUGAAAUUCAGCUGGGAAAAGCACGGGUUUAAUUAGCAAUAACCAAAUGUUAAAAGCACAGUAGACAUUAGUAGUAGAAAUCAGCAGUCCUGGCAUCAGUGAAAACCUUGUUUGAACUUCAAGAAGCCCUUCAGCGUUAGUGGAAAAACUCCGUGUACUGAAAAAUAUGUGUAAAUGGCUAAAAUCUACUUUCAGAUGCCUGGCAAGCGCUUGUGAGAGGGGAAUAGUCACUCACUAAAAGGUUACAAUUUUCCAGCAAAAUCAGAGAGAUCACUCAACAAUGUGUGAAGAAGUCAUCUGGUUUUCCACAGCUACCUGCUCGAGAGUCACAGAAGCAAAGGAGACCUUGUGCACAUCAAAUCAUUAAUUUCUCAAUACAUAAUUUUAUGAACAGAUCUGUUUAAGUAGAUCUGCUCAAGUCUUGAUGAAAACGUUGCCAAACAAAGCUUUUAAAUAUUUUUUUUAUUUAAAAUAAAAUACCGUUCUUUUCCUGAAAUUCAGCAAAGGAAGUGUAGCUAGAGGUUGAAAACCAACCAACCAACCAACCAACCAACCAACCAACCAACCACUCUUGAAAGGAUCUUUUGCUUCGAACUGAAAAAGCUCCUGACAAAGCUUUUAGCAGUAGGCUCACAGAGCUCCCUAUUGCCAGAGCACAUCCAAAGAAACACAAGGUCCCAAGCUGGAAACGUUUGGAUCCUGGAAGAGCACAAGGGGAGCAGCACAACAUAGAUUUACAUUCCUCUGUAGAAAUCCGCACUUGACGGCCCUUCGAAACCGGGCGCUGAGCGAGGGCGACUUUUGCCCGAGCCGCUAUGGCCACUCUUUCCCAGACGGAAAGGGAUAAAAAGCAUCUGUGAUGAACUAGGCAGAAGAGAAGCAGGUGUGCUGAAAGGUUUCCCUCUCCCACAGUGUGCAUGUAAGGCAAGCGUUCUGUUAUCUUUCACAAAUAGUGGUAGUUUUGUUAAAAAUUGUUGACAUGGAAAUUAGCAUCAAUCCCUUCCAGCUCAGGACAUACAGUGAUUUUGGGAUUCUAUGUCUAUCACAUCAUAUGUUAACAGAGUAUAUAUUUUAUUAUAUUUAAUAAGAAUUAAAGGAGUAAAGGUUUCUUGCUAUAUUGGCCAAUGAUCUAAUCUUUCUGCGCUGUCACCACCAUCUGAAUCACCAGCAAUGCCUCAAUGGCUCAUUCUGAAACAACGAAAAAUUUUGUCCCAAACUGAUCAUACCCAUGGUGUCAUAGCACCCAGGUGUGAUCUGGGAGUGGAACAAGAUGCACGUGAUCUUUAAUAAUGGAAGACUUCUGUCCAUCAUUCAUGGAUAGAACCACGGCAAUCCUUGUGUCACAGUAUCAAGUCUUGUAGAAUUUGAAUAAAGAAAGAAUUGUGACAUUAUGGGAGGUAUGUGGGAGUAGAAUGGAAAAAACGUAUUAAGGCAACAUAGGAUAAGUGUCUCCCAGUAAAAUGCCAUUCAGCCAACUGCCACAGAAACAAAUGAGAUCAAUAUGUAAGAUGCCAUUUCCCGGCCAAGUGCAAAUACCUUGUCUGUAAGACUUUGUAUCCAUACUUACGAUAAAAUCUAUAUUCCCCAUAUUCUCUGUGAAGCAACUUAGACUAGUGAAGGCUGGCUCUUCAGGUGUGUUGGCCUUUAGAACAAGUUUGGAAAGAAGCACGUUAAAGACAGAAGUCCAUGGUAGAAUAAGACAAAAUGUAAUCUCGAUUGCUGUAGGUGCUUCGUGCCAGAGUGACCAGAUAUCCUGGUUUGACAAAAGAGUUCAUCCCGUAAGGAGACAAGGAUCCUAGUACUGAGAUUUAGUAAAGCACUGUAUCAAACGAUAACGUAUUGGUUCAUCUAGAGAUGAGAAAUUGUUAAGGCAGAUGGGUUGGACUCAAUCACCUUAAAGGUCUUUUCCAACUUAAAUGUGAUGAAUAAUUCACUGGGCUAUGCUAAGGUUAGUGUUGAAAGGUAAGUUAUUAGACUGAAGUAGGUAAUUAAUGAAAGGCCUCAAGAUGUAGCCUCUGUCCUAAUGUCAUUAACAACGUUGUUGACAAGCUGAACAAAGCACUCAGACAGCGGAAGAGCUUGACUUGAUUAACUAGGAAAGUAAAGGCUGAGAAUGUGUGCAGUCUCUAAACAGAUCGAGAGAUAAGAGCAGGAAGAAGAUCUCUCAAAGACAGGACAACGUUCAGACAAAUUCAAACGGGGAACCCUCCAGUCUCCAAAUGUUUAGGCUGGAAAGAAAAAAGUUCGUAACUGUCAGUUGUUCUUCUAAUGUUCCAGCCAGUUUUACAAAGGAGCAUUGGCAGAUUUCUAGAAGGAAUGACAUGACAAUGCAUGUUGCAGGAGGCUGGAAACAGUGACACAGGUAGUUCUUUCUGAUCCUCAUCUUUUCACGUUCAUACUUUCACAUUCAUAGAUUUAUAUACUCUGAAAGGCUGAUAAUCGUGCUGAGUGGCAGCCAAAGGAGACAGAUCACAAGUGAAGAAAUCAUUCCCGCUAAACCAUCCUGCAGAAGCAUGAACACUGCUUUAGAGAACGGAUUUCAUAUUGGCGGGAAAACACUUUCUGUGAAACAGAAAACUCUUACCAGAAACAAUGCCAAUAAUCAAGUCCUAAUCAAUGACUUCUGGAGAAUAUUCCAGAGGUCAGACUGGUUGCAGAGUCAGGACAUGGUCUGUGCAUCAUUGGAACAUGGAAAAGUGUUGGCAUCGAGAAAGCAGCAGCAAUAGAGGCUGAUGGCAUCGUGUUCCUGAGCAACCAAGCCAUGACCAGGCAGCUGCAGGGCAGGAGACAACACACAACUGGAGCAUAAUCCAGUGUCAUCUACCCAGAGGAGUUGUAAUUGCUUCUGAAAGAUGCGUAUUAAUUUUAUCUUUGAUUUCGGCAAUAUUCUUACAGCCUGCUGUGAUAGUAAUGUCUCAGUGAAGCCAAUAGCAACUUCUUUUAGUCUCAAGAUCUGUGGUGACUGCAGCUCAUGUUUUGUGAACCUUUUUUACGCUCGUAAAAAGUAGGAUUAUCACCAGACUACGAGCACAGAGAAAGCCUGAAUUGUUAGCCACAAAACCACCUUCUGGCUGCCAGCUUAUGAUAAGGUCUAGACUAACUUCAUCUAACAUGUCUGUGUUAACUCACUUUAAUUACAGAUGAUGCUGAGACUGAGCACAAAGGGCUGUUUUCCAAAUUUUGCCUCUGUCAGCUAAUCAUGAAGUUGACCUGACACAAGACCGGCUGUUUUGUUUCCCUUCAUUCUCGAAGAACAGUAAUGGAUCUAGGAUAAGAAAGUUCUGAGGAAGGGGCAGUCCUCUGUUUUCUUGUUGGUUUGUUUGUUUUCUUCUGGUUGGGCUUUUUUCUAAGUGGAAGAUGAAUAGGGGCUAUGGAUCAUAGAGGAAAAGUCGCUUCUUGCAAUGGAUGUGGGAGAAGAUCGGUACCAGAAGGAGUCUAUGGGCCUUAGAAUUAAAUGAACUUGAGCAGCCAAAGGGAGAGAUUAUUUUUCCAGCCUCCAACCAACUGGAACCUUCCUACAGUCCCCAAAACUGCUUCAAAAUUCUGCUACUCCUUUCCAACCUCUUUGUAGACCCCAAAGCAUCUACGAAGUGUUGAGUAACUGAUGAAACGGCGCCCAAUGGCAUUGGUGUGCAGUAGCUGGAGUCUGCAGACCAGCUCUUCUAGGUCUGGUGAUAUGCAGCUCUUGACCCACUUUGUUAUCCUUAUGAUGCCCUAUUAGGUGACUUCUUAAUGUGCUUUGUGCGUGUGAUUAUUAUUAACAACAUUAUUUGGUGAUCGAAAAUUGUGAGAGAUUGACUUUCUCAUUAUGGAAUUAAAGGUCGGUUGCAAAACUCCAGAUGUGGCUUAGAAUUUUGGACUUUCCUAAUGUCCAGAAUUUUUCCAGGAGAGACUGGAAUAUUGAAAAUAUUUAAUUACCUAUGCUAAGAUCAUAAAUAUCAGAAAAUGAGUGAUGUUAAGAGCUUAUGUUUUCAUGGUACACAGAAAAGGAGAGACGAUGGUUGAGGACUUGACCAGGAACAGCCGAAGUUUUUUAUACUGCAGGAAAAGUGGUGAUUUCCCCUUUCCCUGUUUUCUUCAGAGCAAGAACUAACUUACAGAUUUUAAAGUGAUUUAAACUUCUGCUUCCUCAUCCUCGUGAACAUCGAUAGCAACAACAGCUCUUGCAGCACAGUUUCUGCCAUUAUAUCCAAUAAUGGACAUGCAUGUUAACCCUUGAUUUCCUGCUUAACUUUUUCAGAUGUGUUGUUUUGUGCCAAUUUUGUGACUCCUUGUUUUGCUCUUGAGAGCAGGAUCUGUAUUAUACCACCUAUCAAGUGGUAUAAAACAUGCACCCUUGCUAAAAGUGUUAAAUCUGUUUUCAUUUUUUCUCUUGUUUCCUCCUACUUUUCUUAAAAAACAUAAUUCAGACUUAGCAUUGUGCCUAAGAAAGCAUGUAAAGCAGGUGGACUUAGUGGCCAAAAACUGCAUGAAACUUCUACUACAUUAUGUAGUGAUUUCCCUUCAGAUACAAAUACGAGGCAUUUAUGAAUGCUUCCUAAUUUAAUUAGGAAAAUGAAUUUUAAUUUGGGUUUAUUUCCAGAUUAUGAGCGUUGCUAAAGUCGCUCACCUAGAGGCAUGAAGUUGCAUUUGCUCAGCCGCUGUUGAGCUGCCUGUGGAACAACGGGAGCUGUUUGCAUUUAAUGUGAAAAGUGGCCGCAACUUGAUUUCACAUUUUGCCGCAUCCAACAACAUUCACUUUGAAGCAAGACAACUGUCAGUUCACAAGACAGAUUUUCAGCCAAUGAUGAGCAAAUAAAAAAAGCAGGAUAGAUAAUGGAAGUAGUAUUGUUUCUUUACAAACAGCUUGUAUCCUGUUUCCAAGAACGUUUGCAGGCAGGUGUAAAAUGUGGGAAAGAAGACUAUAUGCUGUUAAAUAAAACAUUUCUACUUAA